UACGGGGGGGGCAAGCGUUGUUCGGAUUCAUUGGGCGUAAAGGGUGCGUAGGCGGCGCGGUAAGUCGGGUGUGAAAUCUCGGAGCUUAACUCCGAAACUGCAUUCGAUACUGCCGUGCUUGAGGACUGGAGGGGAGACUGGAAUUUACGGUGUAGCGGUGAAAUGCGUAGAUAUCGUAAGGAAGACCAGUGGCGAAGGCGGGUCUCUGGACAGUUCCUGACGCUGAGGCACGAAGGUCAGGGGAGCAAACGGG
rnacentral:rRNA from 1 species